UAACUCUUUGCUGACUAGAACAGAAUUUUUGUCAUAUGUAUAAACGAACAGUUCAAAAGAAGCAAACAGGAAGGGAUGCCAGACUCAAGUAGAAGAAAAAAGGCAGCAGGAAUAACUUGGAGAAUUCAUGUAAUGUAUUUUGUAACUAUUGUGCAAUGAAGCCUCAUCGCUCAAGGUGGAACCAAGGAAUGGUUAUGGUGACAGAGCAGUUCAUCUGAUGCCGGCUACUUUAUCAUGGAUGAUACUGGCCCUCCUGUGUGCUAUGGAGCUGCAGCAACAAAAUAUCUCAUCACACUGCAGACUGGUCUCUCAAAUAAAGUGGGAAAAACUUUGGGUGUUUCGGGAAGCGAGUCAAAAUACCUCGCCCCGGAGCUUCGUGUGAAGCCACAACACUUUAUAUCAAAUCACUCAUCAAAGCUGAUCUGCAGUACACCAUCAGGAAUAUGAAAAACUCCUUGAUCAAAACUUGAGAGCAAGAUUCUUUGAAUGGUCAGAAUAAUUUAUGAAAUGAUUGACUAGAUCGUAAAAUCCAGGGCAGUGCCCAGUUCAACUCAUGGAGUACAGCACAGAAGCAGCUGGAGUGAUGGCCUCUGAGGUGGAUGAGUCAACUAGAACUGCUGCCCCUAAUUAUUAACUUCUGAUCACUGUUGCAAUUGCGUGAGUCUGGACAUUCGGUAAAACAUAAUUAUAUUUAAAAUUGAUUUUGCAUCUGAGUAGCCUGCAAAACUUUAUUACCCUACCUGAUGAUGGCAGAAUAUUAGUCAUCACAUUGUUUGAAGUAGCUUCAAUUUUAUUUGGGGUGGAAAGAUUCAACUUUCAAGAUUGUUUAUUGUCAAUCUUCAGUGCAAGAGUGAAAGGAGAAUGAAAUUAUUGUUACCCCGGCUCCAAAACAGCAUAUAUAAAAAAGCAUGCAAUAAUCAU